AUUGAACGCUGGCGGAAUGCUUUACACAUGCAAGACGAACGGCAGCACGGACUUCGGUCUGGUGGCGAGUGGCGAACGGGUGAGUAAUGUAUCGGAACGUGCCCAGUCGUGGGGGAUAACGUAGUGAAAAUUACGCUAAUACCGCAUACGAUCUAUGGAUGAAAGCGGGGGAUCGCAAGACCUCGCGCGAUUGGAGCGGCCGAUAUCAGAUUAGGUAGUUGGUGGGGUAAAGGCCCACCAAGCCAACGAUCUGUAGCUGGUCUGAGAGGACGAUCAGCCACACUGGAACUGAGACACGGUCCAGACUCCUACGGGAGGCAGCAGUGGGGAAUUUUGGACAAUGGGCGAAAGCCUGAUCCAGCCAUUCCGCGUGCAGGAUGAAGGCCCUCGGGUUGUAAACUGCUUUUGUACAGAACGAAAAGGUUUCUACUAAUACUAGGAGCUCAUGACGGUACUGUAAGAAUAAGCACCGGCUAACUACGUGCCAGCCGCCGCGGUAA
rnacentral:rRNA from 1 species